GGGAAAGAAAAAGGCCUAAACUUAGCUUUGCUGUAAGAAGAGCCAACUGACCUAAUCACAGUGGAAGUUCAUUUGAGUUACGGCAGGAUGAGAUGUGCUACUGCUGCCAUUUGUAACUUGUGGUUUCUUGUUAGCUGGCCAGCCCAACACAGGCUAACCAGCUGCUGCCAGCAUCUGUGGACACAGCACAUCCUGAGGCAAUAGGGAGAGCUCUCUGGAGCUCUGCAGCUCUGAAGGCAAAUUCAGGGUGCAGCUGAGAAGUUCAGAAGCUUUUAAGAAGCAUGCAGAUUAGACAGGGAGCCUAGGAGCUGGUGCCCUGUGUGGAUCAAAGCAGUGCUUUGAGGAGAGCUCCAAAUAAGAGGAUCAAUAGGAAAUCAGUACAAGAGACAGGAACCCAGCUGGCUCAGAGUCUCAGCCAAAGUGAGAGACCACUGAAUAUCAUUGAU
rnacentral:lncRNA from 1 species